UUGGAGGGUGGGGGGAAUGGAAGCGAGAGAAGAGGACAGAAUUGAGCAAGCGAAGCAGCAGGCAUAAUGGUUGUAUUGCAAUGACCGUUAUCCACGAAGAACCAGCCCACCAGUAAUCAGUAAUUACUACAAGUCAAAGCACUUCCACCCUUCUGAGAAUGUAACCCGAUAUCCCUCAAGCUCAAGACUGGAGGCAAGGCAGUCUUAGUGAAGAGCUGUUGGAUGUGGAAUUUGCUGCGCUGAUCCAGAUUUUGUCAUCUUUCAAGACCAAGGAGGAAAAGGUAACCAAGAAGCUGGUGGUAGAAGAGGGAGAUGAGAGGAAUUUACUUCAAAAUUUCAGCUACAAAAUGUCCUUAAGAAUUGUAUGAAUCCCUCUACAGUGCUGCUGUCAAUUACCAGAAAGUUUGUAAUGGAUUUUUCUGGCUGCUGGCUGUUUUUGACUCAUAAACCAGAACAUAAGUUUAAAAGACUUUUCAUGUCUUCUGAGUCUAUGGACAAAUGA
rnacentral:lncRNA from 1 species